rnacentral:rRNA from 1 species
AUUGAACGCUGGCGGCAGGCCUAACACAUGCAAGUCGAGCGGAUGAAGGGAGCUUGCUCCUGGAUUCAGCGGCGGACGGGUGAGUAAUGCCCAGGAAUCUGCCUGGUAGUGGGGGAUAACGUCCGGAAAUGGGCGCUAAUACCGCAUACGUCCUGAGGGAGAAAGUGGGGGAUCUUCGGACCUCACGCUAUCAGAUGAGCCUAGGUCGGAUUAGCUAGUUGGUGGGGUAAAGGCCUACCAAGGCGACGAUCCGUAACUGGUCUGAGAGGAUGAUCAGUCACACUGGAACUGAGACACGGUCCAGACUCCUACGGGAGGCAGCAGUGGGGAAUAUUGGACAAUGGGCGAAAGCCUGAUCCAGCCAUGCCGCGUGUGUGAAGAAGGUCUUCGGAUUGUAAAGCACUUUAAGUUGGGAGGAAGGGCAGUAAGUUAAUACCUUGCUGUUUUGACGUUACCAACAGAAUAAGCACCGGCUAACUUCGUG